AUGGAAUGUGAAAGAAGUCUUUCUAUGUCACCUGAGAGGCUCACAGAGACCUGCCUGCCUCCCUCAUCAUGUUUGGGUCACAAUUCUAUCAUAUCAGUCUCCAGGACAAUAGAUUCUGCUACAGUCCUGCCUCCUCUGGAAUACAAAACACCACAGGCGCCCUCCCUGGUCCCCCUCACACUUCCUGGUCACCAUGAGGUGAGCAGCUUUCCUCCUCCAGACCCUUCCUCUUUUCCAUUUCUACCUUGAAGCCAGCUGAGUGGACUGAAACCUCUAAAACCAGCCCAAAUAAACCUCACCUGCUUUAAGUUAUGUGUGUUAGGCACUGUGCCCCAGCAAUAAGAAAGUGACUAAGACAGGUGGGUUCCCACGUCCUUAUAAGAAGAGGAGAGAAUCCAAGAUGCAGGCAUCCUAGAGGAAAAGUUAGCCAUGUGACAGAGAGAAGAGCCUGAAGAACUAACUGCAGGGAAAACCAGGGGUGCCAAAGGCCACCAGCACACAGCAGAUGCUAGGAGAAAAGGACACGAUUUCAUCACCCCUAGGCCCUUUCCAGAAAGUCCUACUGACACCCUGAUCAGAACAGUACAGCAUGCAGUUCUGUCCCAGCAGUGGUACUUAGCCUUGUGGUACUUAGUGAAAGCAGCCCUUGGAAAUUAAUUCUCUGCUCCAGGAAGCUGCUUCCGAGGCGAUAUUUGCUGAGAGCUCCAGCUCCCAGAGAAAUAAAGCCAGCACAGAUGACAAAGC
rnacentral:lncRNA from 1 species